AAUAAGUGUAGUUUUAGCACUGUUCAUAUUCAACGUUUGACCGUUCGUCUUAUUUGAAAAAAGAUUAUGAUUAGUAUUUUUAUUGUUAUUAGAUGAUAAAACAUGAAUAAUACUUUAUGUGUGACUAAUUUUUUAAAUAUUUUU
rnacentral:pre_miRNA from 1 species